rnacentral:rRNA from 1 species
GCCCAUUAGCUAGUUGGUAGGGUAACGGCCUACCAAGGCUGUGACGGGUAGGUGGUCUGAGAGGAUGGUCACCCACACUGGGACUGAGACACUGCCCAGACUCCUACGGGAGGCUGCAGUCGAGAAUCUUCCGCAAUGGACGCAAGUCUGACGGAGCGAUGCCGCGUGAGGGAUGAAGGCCUUCGGGUUGUAAACCUCUGUCAGAGGGGACGAAAUUUGACGGUACCCUCAGAGGAAGCCACGGCUAACUACGUGCCAGCAGCCGCGGUAAUACGUAGGUGGCGAGCGUUAUUCGGAUUUACUGGGCGUAAAGGGUUCGUAGGGGGUUUGUCAAGUCUGAUGUGAAAUCCCGCGGCUCAACCGCGGACGUGCAUUGGAUACUGCCGAACUAGAGUUCUUGAUGGGAAAGCGGAAUUCCAGGUGUAGCGGUGGAAUGCGUAGAUAUCUGGAAGAACACCAGCGGCGAAGGCGGCUUUCUGGCAAGAUACUGACCCUGAGGGACGAAAGCGUGGGUAGCGAACAGGAUUAGAUACNCCUGGUAGUCCACGCCGUAAACGUUGUGCACUAGAUGUGGGUGGUCCUUUGGUCCUUCCCGUGUCCAAGCUAACGCGAUAAGUGCACCGCCUGGGGACUACGGCCGCAAGGCUAAAACUCAAAGGAAUUGAACGGGGGCCCGCACAAGCGGUGGGAGCAUGUGGCUUAAUUCGAGGCAACG